CCUACGGGGGGCUGCAGUGGGGAAUAUUGGACAAUGGGGGGAACCCUGAUCCAGCCAUGCCGCGUGUGUGAAGAAGGCCCUCGGGUUGUAAAGCACUUUCAGUGAGGAAGAACGCCUGGUGGUUAAUACCCAUCAGGAAAGACAUCACUCACAGAAGAAGCACCGGCUAACUCCGUGUCAGCAGCCGCGGUAAUACGGAGGGUGCGAGCGUUAAUCGGAAUUACUGGGCGUAAAGCGCGCGUAGGUGGCUUGAUAAGCCGGGUGUGAAAGCCCCGGGCUCAACCUGGGAACGGCAUCCGGAACUGUCAAGCUAGAGUGCAGGAGAGGAAGGUAGAAUUCCCGGUGUAGCGGUGAAAUGCGUAGAGAUCGGGAGGAAUACCAGUGGCGAAGGCGGCCUUCUGGACUGACACUGACACUGAGGUGCGAAAGCGUGGGUAGCAAACAGGAUUAGAUACCCGUGUAGUC
rnacentral:rRNA from 1 species